GACGAACGCUGGCGGCGUGCUUAACACAUGCAAGUCGAACGAUGACGACCGAGCUUGCUCGGUCUGAUUAGUGGCGAACGGGUGAGUAACACGUGAGCAACCUGCCCUUCACUCUGGGAUAACCUCGGGAAAUCGGGGCUAAUACCGGAUAUGAGCUCCUGUCGCAUGGCGGGUGUUGGAAAGUUUUUCGGUGAAGGAUGGGCUCGCGGCCUAUCAGUUUGUUGGUGGGGUAGUGGCUCACCAAGGCGAUGACGGGUAGCCGGCCUGAGAGGGCGACCGGCCACACUGGGACUGAGACACGGCCCAGACUCCUACGGGGGGCAGCAGUGGGGAAUAUUGCACAAUGGGCGAAAGCCUGAUGCAGCGACGCCGCGUGAGGGAUGACGGCCUUCGGGUUGUAAACCUCUUUCAGCAGGGAAGAAGCGAAAGUGACGGUACCUGCAGAAGAAGCGCCGGCUAACUACGUG
rnacentral:rRNA from 1 species